rnacentral:rRNA from 1 species
CCUACGGUGCGCUGCAGUGGGGGAUAUUGCACAAUGGGGGAAACCCUGAUGCAGCGACGCCGCGUGUGGGAAGACGGUCCUCUGGAUUGUAAACCACUGUCCCCAGGGACGAAGAUGACGGUACCGGGGGAGGCAGCCCCGGCUAACUACGUGCCAGCAGCCGCGGUAAUACGGAGGGAGCGAGCGUUGUCCGGAAUUACUGGGUGUAAAGGGAGCGGAGGGGGGACUGCAAGUUGGGUGUCAAAUCUACCGGCUCAACCGGUAGCCGCACUCAAAACUGCAGUUCUUGAGUGAAGUAGAGGCAGGCGGAAUUCCUAGUGUAGCGGUGAAAUGCGUAGAUAUUAGGAGGAACACCCGUGGCGAGGGCGGCCUGCUGGGCUUUUACUGACGCUGAGGCUCGAACGUGUGGGGAGCAAACAGGAUUAGAUACCCUUGUAGUC